CCUGUUAUAUCAGUACAUGAUGUACAUUUAAUACCAGUUUGUGAUGAAGGACUAAUAUACAUCAGCAUUAAUGUCAGCACUAUAUGUGAAAGGGAGUAUCCUGAUUCUAUAGCAGUUAUUAUACUCAAUAGUGAUAGCAGUACAGUAAUAAAUAAUGUUACUAUUAUACCACAAGUUAAUUAUCAACUGAUGAUAGCAACUGGAAAUACUUCAAUACCAUCUUGCAAUGAGACAUUAAUUGUUAAUGUAUCAUUGAGUAAUACUGAAGGAACUCUUAAUGUAAUGUCACCUUUUAAAUUUGUUUAUCUUGGAC